UUCAGACGAUGCGUCAUGCAUAUCAAUAAGCGGAGGAAAAGAAACUAACAAGGAUUCCCCUAGUAACGGCGAGUGAAGCGGGAAGAGCUCAAAUUUGAAAUCUUAAAGGGUUUCCCUUUACGAAUUGUAGUUUAAAGAAGUGUUUUCUGUUGAGGUUUUGGUAAAAGUUCUUUGGAAUAGGACAUCAUAGAGGGUGAGAAUCCCGUAUUUGACCAUUACUUUUCAACUUUGUGAUACACUUUCAAAGAGUCGGAUUGUUUGGGAAUGCAGUCCAAAAUGGGUGGUAAAUUUCAUCUAAAGCUAAAUAUUGGCGCAGAGACCGAUAGCGCACAAGUACCGUGAGGGAAAGAUGAAAGGAACUUUGAAAAGAGAGUUAAACAGUACGUGAAAUUGUCAAAAGGGAAGCGUUUGACACCAGUGUUGUUUUUCUGAAAAUCAAUUAAAGAACUGUUUAUGCUAAGCUGUUUAGACUUUAUCAGCUAUACUGUUUAGUUUUGAGCUUUUCUUUAAUGCACUUUUCAGUUAACAAGUCAACAUCAAUUUCUUUUGCUGUAAAAAAGCUUGAGGAAGGUGGCUUGAGAUUCGUCUUAAGUGUUUAUAGCCUCUUGCCUAUGCAGUCGGAGAGAUUGAGGUCUGCAGCGUAGAUCCUUCGGGGCUAAAUGCAUUUGUGCUAAGUUAUAGCAUUUUAUAGACAACUUGUUGACUAUGAUUUGUCUUGUAGCUUACUCGCUUAUGUUAUUUUACCUACGCUUAGGAUGUUGAAGUCAUCGUAUCGCGC
rnacentral:rRNA from 1 species